GCCCGCAUGGCUCAGUGGUAGAGCGCAUCACUAGUAACGUCAUAACAUGAUUAACAUGAUGAGGUCGUCAGUUCGAUUCUGGCUGUGGGCA